CUGGGCUUCAAGGACCGAAACGCCCGGGCGGCGGGGCCCAAACAACAAGGCAAAGCCGAGCGGAAUGAAAACCCCCUUCCGGGGGGUGGAUUAGCGGGCGGACGGGGUGAGUAAACACCGUGGGUAACCCUGCCUCAAAGUGGGGGGAUAGCCUUCCGAAAGGAAGGAUUAAUACCGGCAUAAAGGCCAAGUUUCCACAUGGAAUUUGGAUGAAAGGAGUAAUUCGCUUUGAGAUGGACCCGCGGCGCAUUAGUUAGUUGGUGGGGUAAUGGCCUACCAAGACAGCGAUGCGUAGCCGACCUGAGAGGGUGAUCGGCCACAUUGGAACUGAGAUACGGUCCAGACUCCUACGGGAGGCAGCAGUGGGGAAUAUUGCACAAUGGGCGAAAGCCUGAUGCAGCAACGCCGCGUGAGUGAUGAAGGUCUUCGGAUUGUAAAGCUCUGUCUUUUGGGACGAUAAUGACGGUACCAAAGGAGGAAGCCACGGCUAACUACGUGCCAGCAGCCGCGGUAAUACGUAGGUGGCGAGCGUUGUCCGGAUUUACUGGGCGUAAAGGGUGCGUAGGCGGAUGUUUAAGUGAGAUGUGAAAUACCCGGGCUUAACUUGGGUGCUGCAUUUCAAACUGGAUAUCUAGAGUGCAGGAGAGGAGAAUGGAAUUCCUAGUGUAGCGGUGAAAUGCGUAGAGAUUAGGAAGAACACCAGUGGCGAAGGCGAUUCUCUGGACUGUAACUGACGCUGAG
rnacentral:rRNA from 1 species